rnacentral:rRNA from 1 species
UACGUAGGGGGCGAGCGUUGCCCGGAUUCACUGGGCGUAAAGCGGGUGUAGGCGGUCUCUUAAGUCGGAUGUGAAAUCCUGCGGCCUAACCGCGGAACUGCAUCCGAUACUGGGAGACUUGAGGACGGUAGAGGUCGGUGGAAUUCCCGGUGUACCGGUGAAAUGGACAGAUAUCAGGAAGAACACCAAUGGCGAAAGCAGCUCUCUGGGACGGUACUGACGCUGAGACGCGAAAGCGUGGGGAGCGAACAGG